UACGGAGGGUGCAAACGUUGCUCGGAAUUAUUGGGCGUAAAGCGCACGUAGGCGGUUCGGUAAGUCGGAUGUGAAAUCCCUCGGCUCAACCGAGGAAGGGCAUCCGAAACUGCCGGGCUUGAGUACGGAAGAGGGUCUCGGAAUUCCCGGUGUAGAGGUGAAAUUCGUAGAUAUCGGGAGGAACACCAGUGGCGAAGGCGGAGACCUGGGCCGAUACUGACGCUGAGGAGCGAAAGCGUGGGGAGCGAACAGG
rnacentral:rRNA from 1 species